UGCAGCAUCCUCACUCCCAUGGCUGCAUCCCCCGCGCCUCCCCACGGUUGCCUUAGCAACCUCCUAUCGAUGGGGUAUUUAUAGAGGAUGGGAAGCCGGAGGGGGGGCAUCGGGAAUGGGUGGGCGUCUGCUCGGUCAGCCUCCAGCUUCAGGCUUCUCUCGGCUUGCGUGGGGGCAGGAGGGAUGCUGCUCCCCUCGGCGUCAGCGUGUGCGCUGCUCCCGCUUUUCCUGCUCGCUGGAGCCAGGGGAGGUGGCCAGGAAUUUGCAUGUGGAAAUAAAAAUAAGCGGCUGGGACGUCUGCCCUUCUCACCGGCAUUGUUUGUGCUUGGAGGCUUGUGUGCAGCUCCCUGGUUGUGGCACUGGGUGCACUGACACAGAUACGUGGAACAAAGUAAAAGAGUGUAAAUGAAAUGAAACAGCAUUAAAUUUGUUGUCUGGUGUGUGAUGUGAGAAUAUCCUUCUUUCUGUGUCUUUGUUCUCCUGUCCAUCAGAGGGGGAGGAUGCCUGUAACAAGGAGGGUUUGUGUGGAAACUGUGGCAUGUGCUCUGUGCUGUGCUUUCUUUUUUAUCCCGGGGCUUUGGGUCUCUGUAAGAACUGAUGACAGCAGAAGUGGGUCAGGUGGUCCCUGCCCAGAGCCUGUGGGGGAAUUCAUGGAUCCAGAGGCCUCUCACAUCCCCCAGAAGGGCUCAGAGAAGCAGGGUUGGGCUGUGGGGCACUGGAAGCAGCAGACCUCUCCUGUGUACUUCUGGUGCUGCUUUCCUUUGCUUUUGCUUCAACUCCAGCCUGAGGUUUGCCAUCUGAGCUUCCCACACUGUUGGGAAGAAGCUGCUUUCUCUCUCUGGACACAGCUCCAGGCUUGCAUGCCCUCUUGGCACUUUGAGGUGUAGGAGCCUUGGAAAGCACAGCAAACCUGAUGCUGGCAGGGAGAGGGGCUGCAUUUGCUGGAAGGUGGCUGUUGUGAGGUGUGCUGCUGUGCAGCAUCUGCCCUUCUGGGUGCCUGCCUUUCGUGUGACAGGAGAAGUGUGUUUCCAGCCCUGCUGACCCUGUGAGCAGCUCUGUGCUGUCCCUCACCUCACCCCAGCAGAGCAGAUCCAAGUGCUUUGGGAAUAACUGGAUAUCUGAAGUCCUGGGCCUGACACCGGCGUGUGGUUUAGUUCCUGCUGUUUCCAACCAUGCCUGCUCCUUCAUCUGCAAUAAAUCCCUGCAGGAGCUGGGCAGUCCUGUCCCCUCUGUCUCCUGACAGAGUUGUGGCUUUGCCACAGCAAGUGUCACACACAGCAAUAGCCAGCCCAGUGCACUCUGAUCCAUGGGGCAUUGAGCACAGGGAAAAGACAAAGCAUGGAAAACAAGCAGAUAUCCUCUGCUUCUGCAGGGCUUAGUUUGACUUCUGUGGGGUUUUGUUUAGUUCAGUUUUGCUUUUGAAGCACAAAAAUUGCUUGUCCAGCUGGAGAGCUGCUGUCCUGGCUGUGCAGGCAGCUCUGUCACUCUGUUGCUGCCCUUAGCUUGGCCCAGCAACCAGAUUGUGGGUAGGAGUUGCAGAAGUGAGAACUGGCACGUCUGUGAAGUUGCUCUAAAAUAAGAUGAUUGCUUCACCUGUAUCCAUCAAUCUCUUGUGGAAGGGAAGAGCACCAGGCUGCUCCCAGCAGUCUGUGGCAUGCAGGUCAUCUUGUCUGCUGGUAGGCAGGAGCCCCCCUGGCCGAGUGAGGCAGCAUGGCAAGUGGGAGUCGAGAGGAGGUGCUGAAGGUCUGACCCCUGCAGCAUUUCUGUCUCUGUGUGCUGCUUGCUGUGCAGGAAGGGCCUCCCCAGGGCUCUCUGGGCUGCCUGUCUGCUCUGACAUCUCUCAUCAGCAGUGCUCCUGGUGCCCAUGGCUGGCACCCUGGCAGUGCCCACCCUGGGGGCCACACUGCCCUGUGUGCCCGGUGGCACCGGGGCUCUGUGUUCUGUGCAUGCUGCCGAGCCCAGCCCCACCCCGAGCUCGCUGUGCCACACCCAGAGCACUGCUGGGCCAGCACUAAAGAUGGGCUGAGCCUGGCAGGGCUGCAGAGGGGCGUGUGGCCUGUCCAGAGCUGGGCUCAAGCCUCCCUCUGGCUCUCCUGGGCAGCCUGCAUGGAGGCUGCAUGCCCUGGUGUGAUGGGAGUGUGAGGAGGAGAUGGAGAUGGAGAGAUCUGUCUGGGAUCUCAGGAUUUGCUUGGAGUGCCACCAGAGCCAGCUGUGAAGGUGGAGGCAGUAGCCACGCUGGGGAGGAGGAGGAGGAGGACCUCAGGGAUGACAGUGGCCAGCUCAGCAUGGCAAAGCAGGGAAGGGGUCCAGUGACUGCUUUCUGCAGGGAUGGAUGGAAAACCCUGACAGUGAGAUCUGCAGCCAAGCCUGUUGCUCUAGGAUGUGCUGAGGAAGUUGAAAUCCAAGUCUCAGGCUUAAGUGCCAAGGAGGGGAGAGUUUAUACCACGGCCUGAUCAAGGCUCAAGACAAGGUCAGCCUGCCAGCCUGUUCCCUCUGCAGCCAGCAUAGCCCUCAACUGUGAAAGCCAAGGCAAGCUGAUCCCUGCCCUUCUGCAAGAAGCCUUCUGUGCCUCUUGAAAAUGCUUUUUCGGUUGUCCUUGUAAAAAAAAAAAUGGUUUGCAUAAUAAAGUCGAUUCUGAGGGAA